rnacentral:lncRNA from 1 species
GCCACCUCCAUGGCAACAGAUGCUGUCAAAAGCCUCAGGUUCGCUUGGAGGAUGAGGAGUGAAUUGCCAGGAACCAGCAAGCGAGGCUGAAGAACAGAAAUCUGAAGACGGCAGGCAGCUUCAAUACGUGGGAAAAACAGUGAAAAAGCCUAGCGCCACCAGGAUGGAGUAGGCCGUUAACGUAGAUUUGAAAGGGUAGUUCCCAGGUAAUGGAGAGAAGGGGCGAUGGAGAGAGAAGGCUCAUCUUACUCUGAGGCAUCGAGGGACCUGAACCACCUCUUGCGUGGACGAAUGCUCUCCCUGUAGGAGAAAAAGGCAAUUAACGUGUGUGGCGAAGAGCGAGAAGAAACAGCAACCGUGACAGGAAUCGUUAGCUCUGGCUUCUUUUGUGUGGGUACCGCAAGGUCAGAGCUUGAACAAGGGGAAAACCGGCAUAUGUCUUCGCUAACAAGCAUGACAACCAAGUAGCUGAGUCGAUUCAUGUUGCGAUCCAGAGAAACCCUAGUCUUUGACAGGAUCUGGGAAGUGAGGAUUCUGUUUUCCACGACUGCAAACUACCCUUCUUGUUCCCUACCUCUUCUCGAUGUGUGUGCUGCACUGACGUUGAUCUUGGACUGGCGUCCUCUUUGCAUACGUACGCGUUCUCUUCUGCGUCACAUCUCUCAAAAGGAGGCUCUGCACCAUCUCUGUUUCGAACGGAGGCUGUUAGGGAAAAGAGGAAGUCUUUUGGGUCAUCGAAACGAGAGUGGAGUGGGGAAAGCUGAUAUCCGUGUUCUGCUGAAAGACCCACCAACCCUGUCUUCCUCGUUAAAAAUCCAAAAGGUCACCUGUCUGGCCGUAAAACCUUCCCAGAGGGAAAAG